AAACCUCCUCAAAUUCUUGGAUAAAAAGGUAUGGAUCCUCACCUUCACUCCCUAAAAACUUAGGCAACAUACUAAUGUGAUGUGCCUUAAUCUCGAAAUUAUUCCCAUUAAUGGGAGGAAGGGUGAUACACGAAGGUUGAGCGGAACGGGACGGGUAACAACGGUCUUUAAGAGACAACGCCAUGUUAACUAUCGGUUCGCUAGCUUCUAUGGGUUCGGAGUCCGAAGAGGAUGACGAAGGAAUCUCGAUUAUAGGUCUUACUAAUCUAGAUGAUUCGUUCCUAACCCAAGUAGUUCGCAUAAACAAGAUAGUAAACACGUAGCAAGUAAGUGCGAUAAAGUAAAACACACAAAAAAAGGGUGUAAAAGAGAAAGAAAAACCUAGUUCUAGGGUUACCUAAUAAAAUGAACUAGACCAUGCUCCUAACUUUAAGGACCACCAAAAACUCGAUAAGUCCAAAAUUAUUCGGACCGGUUUGGCUAGUUUGGAGCAGGCAUUGCCAAGAGGCCAAUCUCCGCGCUUAGACACCAAACCUUAAUCGGCCAGGUAAGCUUUCGCUAGCCUUAGACACCGAAGAGUCGGAAUAAUUAAAGAUUACCUCGUCUUUUAGGUACCUUCCAAAUUGAGCGCGAAACCCUAGGGGCUAACGUCUAAUUCAUUUUAUUAAAAGUUAGGUAAAUGCAAAAUGAAGAAUUAAAUCGUUGUGGGCUAAGGAAAGAGGAAAGAGUGAUGAAAUCCCUUCCCUUAUCUUAUGAGUGGUUUUGCCCUUAAGAUUUAUUUGAAUGAUGCUCCACACAACGAGAUAAUAAAAGCGUUAACAUUUAUGGAUGCUUCUACACUAUGUGAUUUAAUCUAAAGAAAGAAAGAAAUUAACGUACCUUGGGGUCCUCCAGCGAUNUCCCAAGUGGAAAUAGAAUUGACGAGUAGACUAUACAACCAUUUUUUAGCAUUUUCUUUUAAAGCAAAGUUGAUUAGUCUAAGUCGAAUGGAGUCUUCACUCAAUUGUUGGAGUUUUUCUAAACCACAAACCUCCUCAAAUUCUUGGAUAAAAAGGUAUGGAUCCUCACCUUCACUCCCUAAAAACUUAGGCAACAUACUAAUGUGAUGUGCCUUAAUCUCGAAAUUAUUCCCAUUAAUGGGAGGAAGGGUGAUACACGAAGGUUGAGCGGAACGGGACGGGUAACAACGGUCUUUAAGAGACAACGCCAUGUUAACUAUCGGUUCGCUAGCUUCUAUGGGUUCGGAGUUCGAAGAGGAUGACGAAGGAAUCUCGAUUAUAGGUCUUACUAAUCUAGAUGAUUCGUUCCUAACCCAAGUAGUUCGCAUAAACAAGAUAGUAAACACGUAGCAAGUAAGUGCGAUAAAGUAAAACAC
rnacentral:lncRNA from 1 species